ACUCAAAUGAAUAGACGGGGACCCGCACAAGCGGUGGAGCAUGUGGUUUAAUUCGACGCAACGCGAAGAACCUUACCUGGGUUAAAUCAAGAUUGUAAGACGUAGAGAUACGUCCCCCUAGCAAUAGGCGGUCUUGAAGGUGCUGCAUGGCUGUCGUCAGCUCGUGUCGUGAGAUGUUGGGUUAAGUCCCGCAACGAGCGCAACCCUUACUAUUAGUUGCCAGCGGUUCGGCCGGGCACUCUAAUGGAACUGCCGGUGAUAAACCGGAGGAAGGUGGGGAUGACGUCAAGUCAUCAUGGCCUCUAUGUCCAGGGCUACACACGUGCUACAAUGGCCGAUACAAACCGUUGCAAGCCCGCAAGGGGGAGCCAAUCGGAAAAAGUCGGUCUCAGUUCGGAUUGUAGUCUGCAACUCGACUGCAUGAAGUUGGAAUCGCUAGUAAUCGCAGAUCAGCACGCUGCGGUGAAUACGUUCCCGGGUCUUGUACACACCGCCCGU
rnacentral:rRNA from 1 species